rnacentral:snoRNA from 1 species
AUGUCAUGGUGUGGACACUUAACCAGCAUCCCUUUGAAUCUCUCCCACGCUUCUUGCAUUGUUUCCGUUGGUUUCUGCCUAAAGCUUAAGAUCUCAUCAACUU